CCCGCUGAACUUAAGCAUAUCAGUAAGCGGAGGAAAAGAAAAUAACAAUGAUUACCUCAGUAGCGGCGAGUGAAGAGGUAUAAGCCCAAGAUGUUAAUCUGCAGUAAGGCUGUGGAAUUGUAAUCUAUAGAAUUUCUCAGAAGGGGAGACUUGUCAUAAGUUCUUUGGAACAAGACACCAUAGAGGGUGAAAGUCCCGUCUUUGGAUAAGUCGAGCUGUAUGAGACGUUUCUAAGAGUCGGGUAGUUUGGGAAUGCUGCCCUAAGUGGGAGAUAAACUUCUCCUAAGGCUAAAUAUAAGAUAGGAGACCGAUAGCAUACAAGUACUGCGAAGGAAAGAUGAAAAGAACUUUGAAAAGAGGGUUAAAAGACUUGAAAUCGUUGAAAAGGAAGCAGUAAAAGAGAAAUUAUAGCCGGCGUAUUAAGCUCCUCUCAUAAACUUGGGGGUGGAGGACACUUCAUAGGGUCCUUGCCUUUAAGCGAAAGUUAGUAGCGUUGCGCAGGUGAAAGGCAAAAUGACUUGCCCCUGUAAUAAUAAAGUCUAAGCAUAUUGCGAAGCCUAAAAUUACAGAGGCGAGUGAGGGAUUAGCUAAUGAUUUUGCCAAAAUGGCUUUUACUGACCCGUCUUGAAACACGG
rnacentral:rRNA from 1 species